rnacentral:rRNA from 1 species
UACGUAAGGUCCGAGCGUUGUCCGGAAUUACUGGGUGUAAAGGGCGUGUAGGCGGCACUGUAAGUCAGAUGUGAAAUCUCCCGGCUCAACCGGGAGCGUGCAUCUGAUACUGCAGUACUUGAGUGAUAGAGGGGAAAGUGGAAUUCCUAGUGUAGCGGUGAAAUGCGCAGAUAUUAGGAGGAAUACCGGUGGCGAAGGCGACUUUCUGGCCAUUAUCUGACGCUGAGGUACGAAAGCGUGGGUAGCAAACAGG